AUUGAACGCUGGCGGCAUGCCUAACACAUGCAAGUCGAGCGGAUGAAGGGAGCUGGCUCUUGGAUUCAGCGGCAGACGGGUGAGUAAUGCCUAGGAAUCUGCCUGGUAGUGGGGGAUAACGUCGGGAAACGGGCGCUAAUACCGCAUACGUCCUGAGGGAGAAAGUGGGGGAUCUUCGGAUCUCACGCUAUCAGAUGAGCCUAGGGCUGAUUAGCUAGUUGGUGGGGUAAAGGCCUACCAAGGCGACGAUCCGUAACUGGUCUGAGAGGAUGAUCAGUCACACUGGAAGUGAGAGACGGUCCAGACUCCUACGGGAGGCAGCAGCGGGGACUAUUGGACGCUGGGCGAAAGCCUGAUCCAGCCAUGCCGGGUGUGUGAAGAAGGUCUUCGGAUUGUAAAGCACUUUAAGUUGGGAGGACGGGCAGUAAGUUAAUACAUUGCUGUUUUGACGUUACCAACAGAAUAAGCACCGGCUAACUUCGUG
rnacentral:rRNA from 1 species